AGCCUCUCUACAGCUCAUCCCUGCCACUGACUGCAAAGCAAUAGACAGCUGCCCGAAAGGAGCAAAGGGCAGAACCAGGCUGAUCUAAUACAUCAAAGUGGAGGAGAAGCCCACCUGGGCUAGCCUCUAGGCAAUUUGCCAGAGGUGUAAGUGCGAUUGGCAGAGUCGCUAAAAUCCCAGUAGCACCUGGGCUACAUUCCCCACCUUUGCAAUUGCAGAAACCAGGCAGGGCAAACUUGUGAACUAUGAAGUUGGAGUCCCAGGUGAAAGAGACUUGAACAGGAAGAAACAGAGGACAUCUCAACAGGGACUAGAAACCUCUGUUUAAAAAUGAGUCGAAUACAGGUUUGAAAACUGAAAAAAUGCAAUGGCCGAAGUUAUCUUUCUAUGGGAUGGACUCAAUAAUAUAGCAGCGAUCAGAGUGUGAGACUUGGCCAGCUUUAAGAUUAAUAGAACCCAUUGCCCUAGUUGGGCUUCGUGGGAACUGCCUGUAACACAGUACUUGGAAAAAACUUGAAAAACAGAAAGAAGAAAAGAAUGAAAACAGAGGCAAAAUAAAUAGAGCCUUAAGCAUCUGUAGCAUUCUACUGAAACUCUGCACAGUCCGAUGCUUCUAAAACAAUUUAUUUCAUGUGCACUGGUACGAGGAUCUUGGAUCCCCCAGAAUUAGAAAGUUACAGAUGCCAUGUGGUUGCUGGGAAUUGAAGCUGGGUCCUCUGGAAGAGCAGGCAGUGCUCUUAACCACUGAGCCAUCUCUCCGGCCCCAUAUCAAAAGUUUGAGUACCUAGGUGCUUUAUACUCCCACACAGCAGGAAAUCAGUGGGUGGAGAAGCCAAGGGCAUAGAGAAAUUGUGAUGGGUGAAGGUGCAUCUUCCCUGGUGUCUCUGGGGGACACUGUUUUCUGCUUUCAUUCAUCCUGCCCUCAUUCUGACACUCUUUUCCCUUUGCAGAGUUCCCUGAGCCCUGAGGGGAGGAGUUUAAUGGAGACAUCCAAUUUAGGACUGAGUGGUCCAAGGUCUGUCUGCGCACAUUGUCCAGCUACGGGUCUCUGUAUUGGUUCCCAUCUACUUCAGGAGGAAACUGCUGGUGAAGGCUAGUGAGACCGAUCUACAGGAAGCAAGCCGAGAUUUAAACCCUGCUCUUACACAGUGAUUGAUCUCCCCGUGACUACAUGGCCUAGCGUCCCACCGUCAAGCAGACCACAGGGCGGAGAACAGACCCUUCCCACCACAUACCUCUGCUGCUGUCACUCUGCCCAGCCUGCUGUGGGACCUCAGAGCGCAGUCUCAGUCUCGAGGAGCUGUGGAGCCGCAGUUGGGAGGGACGGAGCCACACAUUCCCGCCACAGUGCCCACUACCAUGUGUUCCCACCACAUCUGUUGUGCCAUUGGGCAACACCACCAGCUGGCUGCACGUGAGUUCCUGCUGCAGCUGGUGCUGCCCUCCGUGGUUCACCACGUGGUGCCAGUUCUUGCCACAUGGGUCACUUAGGCCCUCACCAACCACAGGGUCCCUCUUCUCCUGCUACCAGAGAUUCCUCAAUUUUACAGGAUCUUCACAAUUACUGCUGGCAGUCUGGUAAGUGGAAGGAGGUUCUUCAUGUCCAAACAUCCAUAUACCUUCGCUCUAACCCCUUUCUGUGUUUGGCUUCCUGUGGCAUCCCGCUGAGGUAACCCGUGUCCUGGAUACUGGCUGGUCAGUCCAGCAGGCCUCCCCAUCACCGUGAUACCCUGCGUGCAGCUGCCUGCCAAGGAAAGCGCCUUCUUCAAGCAUGUGCUGGUGAGAGGUGACCUACUCUACCUCUGUGCACUCUCUUUACCUCAGAGUUUGACUUUCCAUGAUGUACGUAUGGUCUCAGGGGAGUGUUCUUGAGGUUGGAGCUACCCCUGUGCUGCCCCUGGGGAUGGAUUUUUUUUUCACUGACCCUUGUUCUAGGACCUUUUCCCUUGGGUGAGAUUCCCCUCCCCCCCUUUUUUUGAAGCAGUUUAAAAUGGUAGGCCAGGCCUGAAUAAACUGCUCUCUGGCUUAGGAGUACCACCUCUGAGUGUAGCCCCAGCACUGGUAGGGACAAUUAAUAAUCCCUAGUCUCACCCACGGGUCUAUCGGUCUUUGCCACCCUGUGAAAAGCAGGUCUGGCCCCGUCCCUUGAGUCUGCCAGGGACUCUGUCUGUGAGACCUGCUUUCCCAUGCUCGUGCGACCCCUAUACUUGGCGCACUCUCUCUUGAGGGGCUUCUGUGCUCUGCCUGCUGCUGCAGCCCCUGGUUUGAAGCAGCAGGAAAAGUGAACCUGGCCCUGCCCCUUGCGUUCUGCCAGGGAUUCUGCUUGCUAAGACCGGUGUGCAAGUGAGCUCUCUCGUUCUGUACGGGAUUUUGCUUUGCUCCUCUGCUCAGCCCACCACAGCCUCCAGAAAAACAGCUUUUAUACUGUCUUUUCCAACAUGCUCACACUGCCACUCAUGAGCCAGUGCCUCAGCUGUGCCCGCACCUCUCCCUUGCUCUGCAGAUUUUUCAUUCCUACCCUGUUUUGACAUAGGAUCCUUACUAAUAAUCUGUUUCCUGAGGAAUGCUGUUUGUUUGGGAGCAGGCGAGAAUACAUGCAAAGGAACACACCCAAUUAGAUCUGAGGCAGUUCCUGACCAAGAUCGCCAAUGGAAUUAUAAUCCCACAGGUGGUAUUUUAGCCAGAGAUAGAUUUAUAACCUGUCUCCUGGCCAGUCUCCACAGGGCAGCCUUAAAAACCAGUGAAUUUUGAAAAACUACAAGAGGUCAUCCAGGAAAAACAGGAAAACCCAUCCCAAUUUUUAGAGCGCCUUAUGAAGGCUUUAUUACAAUACACUAAUUGGACCCUGAAAACUCAGAAGGUAAGCAACUUCUGAUAACAUAUUUCUUUUCCCAGAGCUACCCCGACCUAAAAGACAAAUUUAAAAAGCUAGAGGGGGCCCCUAACUCCACAGGCAGAAGUUUUGGCACUGGCCUUUAAAAUGUACCAUGGGAGAGAUAAGAAGGCUCACAGGCAAAAAAUACCAUAUGCUAUCAAAGGCUGUCCGAACAGCCCCAGCUAUUGUCUCGGACUCCUGGUCUUCUAAGGCUAAGGAACCACCAAGCUCCUGCUACAAAUAUGAUUGACAAGGUCAUUGGGGGAGGGUUUUCCCUAAUCCCUGCAAACCAAGGGGGCUAUGUUCUAGGUACCAUCAAGAGGGACAUUGCGCUGUCGAUUGCCCUUGUGUUGCACAGGACAGGGGGACAUCAUGUCCAGAUAACCCUCCAGUGCAUCUCCUAGGCUUGGUUAUGGAUGAAAGAAGGAGCCUGAGUUCCCUAGACCUGACCACUGCCAUCACCAGCAGGGAUCCCCGAGUAACUAUCAUGGAAUGUGGGCCCAUCUCCUUCCUUUUGGGUACUGGGGCCACUUAGUUGGUCCUAACGGAGUUUUGGGAACCCACUUCUCUCUCGCAUUUCCCCAUCAUUGAGGUAAGAGGAUAACCUUACCUUCCUCACCAAACCCACCGCUUAGUUACACUUUUAGGGGUGUACCUCUCACCCAUUCCUUUUUGGUAGUAAUGACACUCCCAGUUCCCUCAUUGGGAAGGGAUCUUCUAACUAAGUUCGGAGCCUCUGUUUUGCUCCACCCAUUUUCCCAAACUCAAGCUCGCCUGCAGCCCUUCUGCUCCUUCUAGUCAACCAACCUACUCACACGGACAUGUUGCUUCCUUUACCAGCUUUUCAGGUAGACCCCCCAAGUCUGGGAUGUCCAGAAACCCUCCAUUGCUAAACAGUCUUUCCAAAUAGGAUCUGAAAACUGCUUUAUCUGUCUGUCUUUUUGUCAUGUCAAACUGUUUUAAAACAUCCAGGACAACAUUCUGUAGGACAAAUUCUUCCUUCUGCUUCACAAAAGGUUAUCUUAAAGAGUGUUCAUGCUCUUAACUCAUGUUGUUAUCUCUUUUGUAAAUUUAUAAGCUACAGGAAACCCACUCGGACCUACUUCUCAUGGACGAAAUAGACUCCACCCAGAUAACAUCCUGUCAAGUCCAGGUACUUAUUACACCUGGGAGAGCUCCAGAGAAGCCACCUCCAGAUGUUCAGUCUCCUCUCACAGACACAGACGCUUCUAUUGGACCUGACCUAUCCUCAAAUGGUUACACAGACCUUGGACCACAAGGAAACAGUCAACUCUUAAGACUGGACAAACAUCCCAUACCCACUUCUCUAUGUUCCCUAGAGACAUGUCACCCCAAAGCAAGCAGGAAGUAGUCAGAGAUUACAACGACCUUAUUCCUGCUCCACCAUCACCUCUAGUUUAUCUUUUUAAACUAAACCAAAAUGGGGGAAUGUUGGUAUUCUGUCUAAGCUCCACCCCCACAGCUACCUAACAACAGCCAGGUAUGCUCUGCCCCACAGUUGCCUGACAACAGCCAGCUGUACCUAAUGCUGUAUAAGGGACUGCUUGCCAGUCUCCUAAGAUCCCAAGCCCGGGAACCCAGGAAUGCCAAUCUGUCUUCUUCCCAGCUAUCGGCUGUAGGCAUCUAUAUUCACCAGUGAGGGAUAACUUGUGGGACAAGGUUACCUAGUGUUCACUUGGGUACUGGGGACUCUCUAGUCCCUGGGGACAACCAGGUCUUGUGGGCCAAUGUUUAGCAUUGCAAUAUAAGCAAAAGACUAACCCUCAACAUUAGACCUCCUUUCUUUAUCCCUUACCUAGUCUGCAUUGCUGUGCUAAUGGCUACAGAAAAUAGAGUUCAGAUAGAACUGUCUAUAAAGUUAUCAAUUAUAGUAAUGAUUGGCCCUGUGAUACACAUUAAAUACGAACUUGGUUUCAACUAGAGCCCAAUUAAAUUAUUUAAAAUUUAUAAAAUGUAUAUGCACACACAAAAGAAAAUAAAUGCUUCUA